UCCGUAGGUGGCAAGCGUUGUCCGGAUUUAUUGGGCGUACAGAGCUCGUCGGCGGCUUGUUGCGUCGACUGUGAAAACCCGCGGCUUAACCGCGGGCUUGCAGUUGAUACGGGCAGGCUAGAGUUCGGUAGGGGAGACUGGAAUUCCUGGUGUAGCGGUGAAAUGCGCAGAUAUCAGGAGGAACACCAAGGGCGAAGGCAGCUCGCUGGGACGUUACUGACGCUGAGACGCGAAAGCGUGGGGAGCAAACAGG
rnacentral:rRNA from 1 species